AACGAACGCUGGCGGCAGGCCUAACACAUGCAAGUCGAACGCCGUAGCAAUACGGAGUGGCAGACGGGUGAGUAACACGUGGGAACGUACCCUUCGGUUCGGAAUAACUCAGGGAAACUUGAGCUAAUACCGGAUACGUCCGAGAGGAGAAAGAUUUAUCGCCGAGGGAUCGGCCCGCGUCUGAUUAGCUUGUUGGUGAGGUAACGGCUCACCAAGGCGACGAUCAGUAGCUGGCUGAGAGGAUGAUCAGCCACAUUGGGACUGAGACACGGCCCAAACUCCUACGGGAGGCAGCAGUGGGGAAUAUUGGACAAUGGGCGCAAGCCUGAUCCGGGACNCCAUGCCGCGUGAGUGAUGAAGGCCC
rnacentral:rRNA from 1 species